UACGUAGGGGGCAAGCGUUGUCCGGAAUCAUUGGGCGUAAAGAGCGUGUAGGCGGCUCGGUAAGUCCGCUGUGAAAGUCCAGGGCUCAACCCUGGAAUGCCGGUGGAAACUGUCGAGCUAGAGUCCGGAAGAGGCGAGUGGAAUUCCCGGGUGUAGCGGUGAAAUGCGUAGAUAUCGGGAGGAACACCGGUGGCGAAGGCGGCGAUCUGGGUCGAUACUGACGCUGAGGUGCGAAAGCGUGGGAGCAAC
rnacentral:rRNA from 1 species